rnacentral:rRNA from 1 species
UACGUAGGGGGCAAGCGUUGUCCGGAAUCAUUGGGCGUAAAGCGCGUGUAGGCGGCUCGAUAAGUCCGCUCUGAAAGUCCAGGGCUCAACCCUGGGAAUUGCAUUCGAGACUGAAUAGCUAGGGUACGGUAGAGGGAAGUGGAAUUUCCGGUGUAGCGGUGAAAUGCGUAGAUAUCGGAAGGAACAUCAGUGGCGAAAGCGACUUCCUGGACCAGUACCGACGUUCAGGCACGAAAGCGUGGGGAGCAAACAGG